CUAGUGGUGGUUCAGUAGUAGAGCUCUUGCCUUCCAUGCAAAAGACCAGGAUUCGAUUUCUGGCCAAUGUA
rnacentral:tRNA from 1 species